rnacentral:rRNA from 1 species
AGGACGUUGUUCGGAUUACUGGGCGUAAGGGCGCGUAGGCGGCUUUGCAAGUCAGAUGUGAAAGCCCCGGGCUUAACUCGGGAAUUGCAUCUGAAACUGCUUUGCUUGAGUCCUGGAGGGGGUAGUGGAAUUCCCAGUGUAGCGGUGAAAUGCGUAGAUAUUGGGAGGAACACCUGUGGCGAAGGCGGCUACCUGGACAGUGACUGACGCUGAUGCGCGAAAGCCAGGGGAGCAAACGGGAUUAGAUACCCCGGUAGUCCUGGCUGUAAACGAUGGGCACUUGGUGUCGGGGGUAUUGAGUCCCUCGGUGCCGGAGUUAACACGUUAAGUGCCCCGCCUGGGGAGUACGGUCGCAAGACUGAAACUCAAAGGAAUUGACGGGGGCCCGCACAAGCGGUGGAGCAUGUGGUUCAAUUCGACGCAACGCGAAGAACCUUACCGGGGCUCGAACGGUAACUGAAAACCCUUGAAAGAGGGCUCUCUCUUCGGAGACGGUUAUCGAGGUGCUGCAUGGCUGUCGUCAGCUCGUGUCGUGAGAUGUUGGGUUAAGUCCCGCAACGAGCGCAACCCUUGCCCUUAGUUGCUAACAGGUCAAGCUGAGCACCCUAAGGGGACUGUCGGCGAAAAGCCGGAGGAAGGUGGGGAUGACGUCAAGUCCUCAUGGCCCUUACGUCCCGGGCCACACACGUGCUACAAUGGUCGGUACAAAGGGUCGCCAACCUGCGAAGGGGAGCUAAUCCCAAAAAGCCGACCCCAGUUCGGAUUGCAGUCUGCAACUCGACUGCAUGAAGUCGGAAUCGCUAGUAAUCGCAGAUCAGCACGCUGCGGUGAAUACGUUCCCGGGCCUUGUACACACCGCCCGUCACAUCACGAAAGUGGGUUGUACUAGAAAUCGCUGAGCUGACCCGCAAGGGGGGCAGGCGCUUAACGUAUGAUCCAUGAUUGGGGUGAAGUCGUAACAAGGUAACC